rnacentral:rRNA from 1 species
UCGAGAAUCUUCCGCAAUGGGCGAAAGCCUGACGGAGCGACAUUUCGUGAUGGAUGAAGCCCUUCGGGGUGUAAACAUCUUUUAUCUGGGAAUAAAUUAUUGAAGGUACCAGAUGAAUAAGGGGAUCCUAAUUCUGUGCCAGCAGGAGCGGUAAUACAGAAUCCCCGAGCGUUACCCGGAUUUAUUGGGCGUAAAGGGUCUGUAGGUGGUAGAGUAAGUUACAAAUUAAACUUCAUCGGCUUAACCUUUGAACUGUUUGUAAUACUGCUAUACUAAGAGGGCGUUAGAGGCAAACGGAACCGACGGAGUAGGGGUGAAAUCCGUUGAUAUCGUCGGGAACACCAAAAGCGAAGGCAGUUUGCUGGGACGACCCUGACACUGAGAGACGAAAGCGUGGGGAGCAAAAAGG